rnacentral:rRNA from 1 species
AACGCUAGCUACAGGCUUAACACAUGCAAGUCGAGGGGCAGCACAAGGCAGCAAUGCUGAGGUGGCGACCGGCGCACGGGUGCGUAACGCGUAUCCAACCUUCCCGUUACUCAUGGAUAGCCUUCCGAAAGGGAGAUUAAUACAUGAUGGUGUUGAAAUUCCGCAUGUUAUUUCAACUAAAGAUUUAUCGGUAACGGAUGGGGAUGCGUGACAUUAGAUAGUAGGCGGGGUAACGGCCCACCUAGUCUACGAUGUCUAGGGGUUCUGAGAGGAAGGUCCCCCACACUGGAACUGAGACACGGUCCAGACUCCUACGGGAGGCAGCAGUGAGGAAUAUUGGUCAAUGGCCGGAAGGCUGAACCAGCCAAGUAGCGUGAAGGAUGAAGGUUCUAUGGAUUGUAAACUUCUUUUAUGAGGGAAUAAAACCUCCCACGUGUGGGAGCUUGUAUGUACCUUAUGAAUAAGCAUCGGCUAACUCCGUGCCAGCAGCCGCGGUAAUACGGAGGAUGCGAGCGUUAUCCGGAUUUAUUGGGUUUAAAGGGAGCGUAGACGGGAGAUUAAGUCAGUUGUGAAAGGCUGCGGCUCAACCGCAGCACUGCAGUUGAUACUGGUUUCCUUGAGUGCGGUUGAGGUGUAUGGAAUUCGUGGUGUAGCGGUGAAAUGCUUAGAUAUCACGAAGAACUCCGAUUG